CACAUAGAAUUGUGGUUACCAUUACUGACUGAAGCUCCGUUUCACCUGAAACCACUCACUGUGAAGAGGAAUUUUACUUUGCCAAAUUAAACGAUUGCAGAAACGCCAAUGUGUGACAAAAGGCUCAUAGAAAAAUGCAAGAAAAUUGGACAAGAAUGCAAGAUUAAAAGAGGAAUGUCGAUUUGUGUAGAAACACGAACUUGUGAUGAAAGGCUAAAGGAAGAAUGCAAGAAAAUGGGACAUGAAUGCAAGAUGGAAGGAGGAAUGCCGACUUGUGUAGGUACAGAAAUGCCAACAUGUGACGAAAGGGUAAAAGAACAAUGCAAACAAAUUGGACAGGAAUGUAGGGUUCAAGGAACAAUGCCAAUUUGUGUAGAAACCCCAACUUGUGACCAAAGGCAAAAAGAACAAUGCAAUAAAUUGGGACAGGAAUGCAAGAUGAAAGGAGGAAUGGCGAUUUGUGCAGAAACCCCAACUUGUGACCAAAGGCAAAAAGAACAAUGCAAUAAAUUGGGACAGGAAUGCAAAAUGAAAGGAG